AAAGUAGUGUCCAUAAACCAAAAUUUCCAACAGACCAUAUGGCACUAUCAUGGAGGGUGUCAAGUUGGGAGGGUUGUUGAUAAAGGAUAUAGAGUUCUUGGUAUUGAUUCUCUGAGGGUUAUUGAUGGUUCAACGUUUUAUCACACCCCGGGUGCUAAUCCUCAAGCUACUGUCAUGAUGCUUGGAAGGCAAGCAUACUUGGAAAACAUAUCAUAUAUACAUAAUCUUCACGAAAAUCUUCUACUAAUUGCUGCUUAAACCUGCAUUUUGGUUUCGUUUGUUAUGCAUGUGGUGCAGGUACAUGGGGCAAAGGAUUAUGCAUGACAGAUUAGUCCAUGGAUCAAAACAGAAAAAUUGA
rnacentral:lncRNA from 1 species